CGAAGCUGCACGAAUACCACAUUUAUCGUCAGAUGCCCUAACUUCUACCUGGCAAAGUUUCAAGAUCCUUGUUAGAAUUUUUCUGUGAUGAUUACAAGGUAUCAUGUUUAUCACAGUGUUGUUCGGAGAUAAUGAGCAUGCUCACUUCAAUAUAUUUUGCAAGUUCCGAGUUUUGUUGGAUUACAUCAAGCAGAGCUGCCACUACGAGACUGAAGCUGAGAUUGAGCAGAUGAGAACGGAGAGGUGCAGCAUCUUUUACAAGCCCAGCAUGGCUGUGCCUCUGAUAUCCUGACUGCAAGAGAGGUCUAUGUUCUUCUGGGUGUGAACAGACCUGCCAGUCCCUCCAAAUCAAAAUAUACACCUUUACUUAAGAAUGAUUACAUUGUCAAUUCAAAAUUCUUGGCUAAGCUAGGAAUCCGAGUGGAGUCACGAAGUCAGUCCCGAGGGAAAGCAAAGAGGCUGCAAAAGAUGUCUGUAUCACCAUCUUCCUCUCUUUCAUUCAUUUCAGAUGGUAAACACAGCAUUUCACCUCAAGGGAGACUUAAAAAUACCUUAACACCUCUAUCAGGGAACUACUCUAUCUGAAGAACAGAAGCUGUUUCUAAAUAUGCAGAUACCAUCAGACAUCUCUACACCACUCCAUGGUAUGAUGAUAGAGUUUUAUUUAUAGAGCUGGCAAUCAGUUCUUUUCUAAUAAUUAUAUGUUUUAUCAACUGUUGACAUUGGUAUAAAGGCUCGAGAAUCUCUCCUACUAAUGUGCCUCUUAGCAUCUGUUUUUCACUAUUUAAAUAGACUCACUGAAAAAUUACAGAACUACAGGUCAAUGUAAAUCUGGAGUACAGUUAAUAGUACUUUUUCAUUGUAAACUGUAGGGUGAACAGCAGCCUCUAAUGUAGUGUUUCUGUUCAGCACAGAAGGAAUCAGCUACUCAGUAGCUGCAGCUCACUGUGUUAUGCAAUUAAAUCAGGCAUCUUGUCGCAACAUAAAAUUUAGAAAUCUCAAUUUUGAAAUUUUCACUUGAUCCAUAUUCAACAAGGUUUUUGGGGAAGUGAGUUUAAUAAGAAAUAAACUAAGGAACAAUAUCAAUUGCUUUGUGAAGAUAGAAAAGUGAAGUUAUUUCCAAUAACUUAAAUCAAUUGCAUUGCACCUGCAAGAUGAAAUUAAAAUAUUCUGAUUUUAAAGGAAGCUGAAGCCUAAUUCAUUGUCUGUGGUGUGUUUUGCAAACCAUUAAUUAAAUAUGGAUUAUUGAGUAUGACUUUGCAAACUUUGAAGAAUUAAACAAUGUCAUAGGAGCCACAGCAUUCUACAAAAUAAUCAGCAUUCGUCCCUCUCCUGAGAGUAGUAAACUCUAGGCUGUCCAACAUCCCAGGGCAAUCGCAAAUGAUUAUAGCAAUGCCAGUCUGAGAGAAGACCUAUCCACAACAGCUUAUUUCUAGAAAAUAUAAAUCAAUAGGUAUAGAGUGUUUUAAAAAAUGAUGCCUGUUUCACCCAUUUAAUUUCCCAACCACAUUUCUAGAAUUCAUGCUUGUACUAUUCUCUACUUAGUUCAAGGUAGUGGAAUGACACAUUGCUUAUUAUAAGUGCUCAUCCAUGGUUAAACAACUACGAAACAAAUUUGAAUGCUGCAAUAAUAGUGGCUAUCAGAAAUAAAUAGUGCAAAAAACACCAGGCAACUGCACCAGCCAGUGUUCUGAAGUUAUUUCCUUUUUGCUUCCAUCUAUUCCAAAGAUUUACAGUUCAGCCAUUUGGGUAGUUUGGUUGAAAGUUUGCUAUCACUUAUGUUAAUAAUGUGCUAUAGAAAAUUAAACAAGAUACCUGACUAAUCCCUGCUGGAAAAUAGAGUUCUGUCUGGUUUUAUGAAUAAUGAAGUCAGCAAGCUGUUCAAUGACUAUGCCAACAAAGAAAGCUGUGUUACAGGUCCAUUCCCUGUACAACCUCUAUUCAUAUGUCUGCAUGAGAAAGAAUUGAACAGGUGUGUUUUGGGCAAAAGCUUAACUGAGAAAAUCCCAUCAUCUAUCUCUUUUGGUCUCUGUCCUUUUCCAAACCUUCUACUUUGCUCCUUCUGACAUUCCCUCGUUUCUCUAUAAUUUAAAGCUCAUUUCAUUUAUUUUUCUCUGUUCAGACAAAGCAUCACCAGCAUAAGAUGUUUACUGUCAUUCUCACUAAUGCUGCCUGAUCAGCUGAUUAAAAACAUUUACUUAUUAUUAUAAACUACUUUCAGUAGUAUUAAUCAAAGUACACUGAGAUGAAUCAAAAAAUAUUUCUCAACCUGAUAUUUUUAAUACCUUAUUUUAAAACUGUGGUCAUUCAUAGAAUGUUUUGUAUUCAGCAAUUUGCAAAUAAAUUGAACAGGAUCUCAGAAAAACAUCCUUGAGUUUGGGUGAAAAUUAAACUGGAAUUUCAAAGGCAUAGAUAACUUUAAAUUGGAAUUAUUGGGAACUGUAGCUCACAGGAAUGAAAUUGAUAAAUUUUGGAAUGUAAAAGAGGAUCAGAUAUGAUCUUGAGUGGUGAUUAUGGCCUACUCCUGCUAUAAUUAUUCAUGCUCUUAGAUUACAGCUAAUCCUCUUCCUCAAGGCGUCCUAUACUGUCCAACCCCUAUAAACCUUUGAUUCUCUUACUUAACUGAGAGAAGCUGCAUAUCCUUCAAACCUCAGGGGUUGUUUACUGGGGUGAUGGAUAGAUCACUGUCCGGAGGGUGCAGUUAAGUAUUUGAUGUUAUUUUGAAUGCCAUUGCUGAAAUCAGUUUCCAUUGAUUUGAAUGAAAGCCAAAAGUGGCAUUAAACCUGCAUGCAGUGCCAUGUUGCACAUUUAGACAAUUCAACAAAGCACGCAUUUCUAGAACAGGUAGUUCAGCAUGGAGGCAGGAAGAAACAUCUGAUGUUGUUGCAACAGAGUAAAACAAAACAACAGAGUUUGAGAUGUAGAGCUAGGUUCCAUCACUGUGCAUGAGGAACUUAAUCUUAACAGUCCAUCAAAAGCAGCCAUAAAGAUCUAAGCAUAUAUGAAUACCUGUUAUAUCUUUCCAGACAACUGUAACUAUGCUUCAGAAUGAGUGCUAUAUAAAAACUCUAAACACUCUGGAAAUAAUGGCUUUACAGUGUCUCACUUAGCAAAGUUCAUAUCCAUGUUUGUCCAUAGCUGUCUUCAACGUUGUUAUUAGUGGCAAUUUCCCAAGAUUACUUGAAGGAAGCCAGCCUUGGUCUGCCAAGACAGAGAAAUCCUCCAUAUGUCGGUGUCACCCUGCGAUGUACAGAUAGAAGUAGAGAAUUGGUUCAUAUCUAAUUACCUAUCUAUUGGCCGUUACACUGCUGGCAUUUAGGGCAGCAAUAAAGGUCCUCCAUCUCUGGUGGUGUUCAGGGCUUCCUUCAUUAUGGCAGUAGCUUGGUUUUCACUACUGCCAGUCAUGCAAGUCCUGGGUAGAGACUCAGGAAUACUGUCGCACUCAGAUGUAGAAGGAUUCUUUAUUGCGGUUUCCGUAAGAGUUUUGUUUUAUCUGUCAGGGUUGUUAGCCCUGAGCUGAACCCUGAACCUGGAGGACUGGUAGUCUGGCCUCUACCCUUUGAGCUGUUUGGCAUGGAUGACCCUACCAAGAGCCAAAGCAUAAAGCCCUGACUCCAGCCAACAUAGACAGGUCCUUGAGGCAAAGUUGUGGUCCUCUUAGAGGUCACAUCCAAUUACAUAGUCAUAAAGUCAUAGUGAUAGAAACAUAGAAAAUAGGUGCAGGAGUAGGCCAUUCGGCCCUUUGAGCCUGCACCGCCAUUUAUUAUGAUCAUGGCUGAUCAUCCAACUCAGAACCCUGCCCCAGCCUUCCCUCCAUACCCCUUGACCCCCAUAGCCACAAGGGCCAUAUCUAACUCCCUCUUAAAUAUAGCCAAUGAACUGGCCUCAACUGUUUCCUGUGGCAGAGAAUUCCACAGAUUCACGACUCUCUGUGUGAAGAAGUUUUUCCUAAUCUCGGUCCUAAAAGGCUUCCCCUCUAUCCUCAAACUGUGGCCCCUCGUUCUGGACUUCCCCAACAUCGGGAACAAUCUUCCUGCAUCUAGCCUGUCCAAUCUCUUUAGGAUUUUAUACGUUUCAAUCAGAUCCCCCCUCAAUCUUCUAAAUUCCAACGAGUACAAGUCCAGUUCAUCCAGUCUUUCUUCAUAUGAAAGUCCUGCCAUCCCAGGAAUCAAUCUGGUGAACCUUCUUUGUACUCCCUCUAUGGCAAAGAUGUCUUUCCUCAGAUUAGGGGACCAAAACUGCACACAAUACUCCAGGUGUGGUCUCACCAAGGCCUUGUACAACUGCAGUAGUACCUCCCUGCUCCUGUACUCGAAUCCUCUUGCUAUGAAUGCCAGCAUACCAUUCGCCUUUUUCACCUCCUGCUGUACCUGCAUGCCCACUUUCAAUGACUGGUGUAUAAUGACACCCAGGUCUCGUUGCACCUCCCCUUUUCCUAAUCGGCCACCAUUCAGAUAAAUAAUCUGUUUUCCUAUUUUUGCCACCAAAGUGGAUAACUUCACAUUUAUCCACAUUAAAUUGCAUCUGCCAUGAAUUUGCCCACUCACCCAACCUAUCCAAGUCACCCUGCAUCCUCUUAGCAUCCUCCUCACAGCUAACACUGCCACCCAGCUUCGUGUCAUCCGCAAACUUGGAGAUGUUGCAUUCAAGUCCCUCAUCCAAGUCAUUAAUAUAUAUUGUAAACAACUGGGGUCCCAGCACUGAGCCUUGCGGUCCCCCACUAGUCACCGCCUGCCAUUCUGAAAAGGUCCCAUUUAUUCCCACUCUUUGCUUCCUGUCUGCUAACCAAUUCUCCACCCACACCAAUACCUUACCCCCAAUACCGUGUGCUUUAAGUUUGCACACUAAUCUCCUGUGUGGGACCUUGUCAAAAGCCUUUUGAAAAGAUAGAGCACUACAGCAAUGAAACAGG